AGAAGAGGAAGAUGAGAAAGAAGAAAGAAGAGGAAGUUUUCAGAAGGGGGAAGUAAAGAAAAAAAAUACUGACAUGAUGACAAUGUCUUGACUUGAAGGUGAAUUGGAUCUAAAUGAGACAGAACUGCACUCCUCCAGUCAUCUGAGUCCAGUGGCAAGCAAGACAAAGGACCUUGGAUGCAAAAGGCCUGGAGAGACUUACAUGAACUGAUGCUGAGUGAAAUGGGCUGAACCAGGAGAUCAUUAUAUAG
rnacentral:lncRNA from 1 species